rnacentral:rRNA from 1 species
CCUACGGGAGGCUGCAGUGAGGAAUAUUGGUCAAUGGACGAGAGUCUGAACCAGCCAAGUCGCGUGAAGGAUGACUGCUCUAUGGGUUGUAAACUUCUUUUAUAAAGGAAUAAAAUGAGGCACGUGUGCCUUUUUGUAUGUACUUUAUGAAUAAGGAUCGGCUAACUCCGUGCCAGCAGCCGCGGUAAUACGGAGGAUCCGAGCGUUAUCCGGAUUUAUUGGGUUUAAAGGGAGAGUAGAUGGGUAGUUAAGUCAGUGGUGAAAGUUUGCGGCUCAACCGUAAAAUUGCAAUUGAAACUGUGAGUCUUGAGUAUAGUUGAGGUAGGCGGAAUGCGUGGUGUAGCGGUGAAAUGCAUAGAUAUCACGAAGAACCCCGAUUGCGAAGGCAGCUUACUAAACUAUGACUGACAUUGAUGCACGAAAGUGUGGGGAUCAAACAGGAUUAGAUACCCUGGUAGUC